rnacentral:rRNA from 1 species
UGGCGGCGUGCUUAACACAUGCAAGUCGAACGAACCUUCGGGUUAGUGGCGGACGGGUGAGUAACGCGUGAGAAUCUGCCCUCAGGAGGGGGAUAACAGUUGGAAACGACUGCUAAUACCCCAUAUGCCGAGAGGUGAAACGAAUUUUGCCUGGGGAUGAGCUCGCGUCUGAUUAGCUUGUUGGUGGGGUAAAAGCCUACCAAGGCUUCGAUCAGUAGCUGGUCUGAGAGGACGAUCAGCCACACUGGGACUGAGAUACGGCCCAGACUCCUACGGGAGGCAGCAGUGGGGAAUUUUCCGCAAUGGGCGCAAGCCUGACGGAGCAACGCCGCGUGAGGGAUGAAGGCCUUUGGGCUGUAAACCUCUUUUCUCAAGGAAGAAGAUCUGACGGCACUUGAGGAAUAAGCCACGGCUAAUUCCGUGCCAGCAGCCGCGGUAAUACGGGAGUGGCAAGCGUUAUCCGGAAUUAUUGGGCGUAAAGCGUCCGCAGGCGGCCGUUUAAGUCUGUUGUUAAAUCGUGGAGCUCAACUCCAUCACGGCAAUGGAAACUGUUCGGCUUGAGUAUGGUAGGGGCAGAGGGAAUUUCCGGUGUAGCGGUGAAAUGCGUAGAUAUCGGGAAGAACACCAGUGGCAAAAGCGCUCUGCUGGGCCAUUACUGACGCUCAUGGACGAAAGCCAGGGGAGCGAAAGGGAUUAGAUACCCCUGUAGUCCUGGCCGUAAACGAUGAACACUAGAUGUUGGGGGAAUCGACCC